AAAUUGAAGAGUUUGAUCAUGGCUCAGAUUGAACGCUGGCGGCAGGCCUAACACAUGCAAGUCGAGCGGUAGCACAGAGAGCUUGCUCUCGGGUGACGAGCGGCGGACGGGUGAGUAAUGUCUGGGAAACUGCCUGAUGGAGGGGGAUAACUACUGGAAACGGUAGCUAAUACCGCAUAACGUCGCAAGACCAAAGUGGGGGACCUUCGGGCCUCAUGCCAUCAGAUGUGCCCAGAUGGGAUUAGCUAGUAGGUGGGGUAACGGCUCACCUAGGCGACGAUCCCUAGCUGGUCUGAGAGGAUGACCAGCCACACUGGAACUGAGACACGGUCCAGACUCCUACGGGAGGCAGCAGUGGGGAAUAUUGCACAAUGGGCGCAAGCCUGAUGCAGCCAUGCCGCGUGUGUGAAGAAGGCCUUCGGGUUGUAAAGCACUUUCAGCGGGGAGGAAGGCGGUGAGGUUAAUAACCUCACCGAUUGACGUUACCCGCAGAAGAAGCACCGGCUAACUCCGUGCCAGCAGCCGCGGUAAUACGGAGGGUGCAAGCGUUAAUCGGAAUUACUGGGCGUAAAGCGCACGCAGGCGGUCUGUCAAGUCGGAUGUGAAAUCCCCGGGCUCAACCUGGGAACUGCAUUCGAAACUGGCAGGCUAGAGUCUUGUAGAGGGGGGUAGAAUUCCAGGUGUAGCGGUGAAAUGCGUAGAGAUCUGGAGGAAUACCGGUGGCGAAGGCGGCCCCCUGGACAAAGACUGACGCUCAGGUGCGAAAGCGUGGGGAGCAAACAGGAUUAGAUACCCUGGUAGUCCACGCUGUAAACGAUGUCGAUUUGGAGGUUGUGCCCUUGAGGCGUGGCUUCCGGAGCUAACGCGUUAAAUCGACCGCCUGGGGAGUACGGCCGCAAGGUUAAAACUCAAAUGAAUUGACGGGGGCCCGCACAAGCGGUGGAGCAUGUGGUUUAAUUCGAUGCAACGCGAAGAACCUUACCUGGUCUUGACAUCCACAGAACUUAGCAGAGAUGCUUUGGUGCCUUCGGGAACUGUGAGACAGGUGCUGCAUGGCUGUCGUCAGCUCGUGUUGUGAAAUGUUGGGUUAAGUCCCGCAACGAGCGCAACCCUUAUCCUUUGUUGCCAGCGGUUAGGCCGGGAACUCAAAGGAGACUGCCAGUGAUAAACUGGAGGAAGGUGGGGAUGACGUCAAGUCAUCAUGGCCCUUACGACCAGGGCUACACACGUGCUACAAUGGCAUAUACAAAGAGAAGCGACCUCGCGAGAGCAAGCGGACCUCAUAAAGUAUGUCGUAGUCCGGAUUGGAGUCUGCAACUCGACUCCAUGAAGUCGGAAUCGCUAGUAAUCGUAGAUCAGAAUGCUACGGUGAAUACGUUCCCGGGCCUUGUACACACCGCCCGUCACACCAUGGGAGUGGGUUGCAAAAGAAGUAGGUAGCUUAACCUUCGGGAGGGCGCUUACCACUUUGUGAUUCAUGACUGGGGUGAAGUCGUAACAAGGUAACCGUAGGGGAACCUGCGGUUGGAUCACCUCCUUA
rnacentral:rRNA from 3 species